rnacentral:rRNA from 1 species
AAGCCACGGCUAACUACGUGCCAGCAGCCGCGGUAAUACGUAGGUGGCAAGCGUUGUCCGGAAUUACUGGGUGUAAAGGGAGCGUAGGCGGGAUGCCAAGUCAGCUGUGAAAACUAUGGGCUUAACCUGUAGACUGCAGUUGAAACUGGUAUUCUUGAGUGAAGUAGAGGUUGGCGGAAUUCCGAGUGUAGCGGUGAAAUGCGUAGAUAUUAGGAGGAACACCGGUGGCGAAGGCGGCCAACUGGGCUUUAACUGACGCUGAGGCUCGAAAGUGUGGGGAGCAAACAGGAUUAGAUACCCUGGUAGUCCACACUGUAAACGAUGAUUACUAGGUGUGGGGGGUCUGACCCCUUCCGUGCCGCAGCUAACGCAAUAAGUUAUCCACCUGGGGAGUACGACCGCAAGGUUGAAACUCAAAGGAAUUGACGGGGACCCGCACAAGCAGUGGAUUAUGUGGUUUAAUUCGAAGCAACGCGAAGAACCUUACCAGCACUUGACAUCCGACUAACGAAGUAGAGAUACAUUAGGUGCCCUUCGGGGAAAGUCGAGACAGGUGGUGCAUGGUUGUCGUCAGCUCGUGUCGUGAGAUGUUGGGUUAAGUCCCGCAACGAGCGCAACCCCUGCCAUUAGUUGCUACGCAAGAGCACUCUAAUGGGACCGCUACCGACAAGGUGGAGGAAGGUGGGGACGACGUCAAAUCAUCAUGCCCCUUAUGAGCUGGGCUACACACGUAAUACAAUGGCCAUCAACAAAGAGAAGCAAUACCGCGAGGUGGAGCAAAACUUCAAAAAUGGUCUCAGUUCGGACUGCAGGCUGCAACCCGCCUGCACGAAGUUGGAAUUGCUAGUAAUCGUGGAUCAGCAUGCCACGGUGAAUACGUUCCCGGGUCUUGUACACACCGCCCGUCACACCAUGGGAGUUGGUAACACCCGAAGUCAGUAGUCUAACCGCAAGGAGGACGCUGCCGAAGGUGGGAUUGACGACUGGGGUGAAGUCGUAACAAGGUAGCCGUAUCGGAAGGUGCGGCUG